UGUUACGUUUGACCGCUGUCGAAAACGGCAUAGUGUAUUCAUUAACAUUCAUAUAUUGUUUUUAGAAAGAGGAUAUCGGUUGACGAUGUAGGGGAGAAGUCUGCCUGAAAUGUUGCCCCAACUAAAACCAACAUUAAGACAGAGAUGUAAAUUGUAACACGUAGCCAAAGCGAAUCCCCCAAUGGCUAUUGUCUGUGAAAGAUUUAUGAACUAUAGAUCUCAGUCAUCUCCCUUUUUGAGUGGAUCGUCCGAAGUGUACAGGUUAUAACCAAGCUAAUAAUUUCACGUUGUCAAAACGUUAUACUUUCGUUGUUACAACGUUAUUCUGUGGACUCGCAUUAACGUUGUCACAACGUUGUGACGUGACGUUGUGAUGAGUCAUUUUUACGUCCCCACAAGGUUAAAGUUAUUUCAUGCUAACAUGUUUUAAGUUGUCUUACGUUCUAUUUAAAGUUAAUAGUUGAAUAGUUUUCCCAGUAGUGAACAGUACAUAAAACCAGUCGUUUCAAGGAGAAAAGACACGUGUUACAGAUCCGUUUCGGGGGAGUUGUAUAUUUAUUUACCGGUAUACACACGUCCGCUUGACAUGAUCCACCUCUGUGAAGUAUAAUACCCGCAUUGAAGAUCCGGGCAUGUCGACACGUGUAUCCGGGUAUGACUUGCACAGAGGUUAACUAGUCCACAUGUUGCACUUAAAAUAACUUUUGUGUAUCUAAAAACAUUUAAAAAUAAUUUGAGGAUAUAUCUGACGACUAUGCAGAUAUACCCAUUGUAAAAACUUAGAUUACUCACCGCCAAGAGAAACGCAAAAAUCAUCAAUAUUUCCUGUGACGUAAAUCUACAGUGUUGAAUAGUUUUCUGAUACAUAAAUGAUACCCUGAAAACUGUUUUUCACAGCAAAAGAAAUAAUGAUUACCACCAACGCAGCACACGUGACGUCACACAUCACUAAAAUGUGAACUCAAUGGUUUUCAUUUAGCCUAUGCAGAGAUAGGUCGUGAAGUUGGAACAGCAUUCUUUACAUGAUGUUCUUGCUCUUACACUGCUAAACUUCUGCAUUCGCAUUUUUAUGCAACAGUGAGCAAACCACCUUUAAGCGCUAACGAACGGCAGAGAGCAAUAGGGAUUAUUGAGGCAGGUUGGAACAUCCAACGCGUCGCCAGGCAUAAUGGAAUACAUCAGUCUACCAACUGGGCAGCAGUCCACCGCAAAUAGCGCAAUCGACAGUGGCAGAACAUCGUCUUCUCAGAUGGAAGUCGCUUUUGAAUCGAUACCGCAGAUGACAGAGUGAGGAUAUGGCAUCGUCAAGGUGAAAGAUUCUCAGAACCCUGUGUUUUGGAGAGAGAAGUCGUCGGGGAGGGCCUUCCCUCAUUUUUGAGGUGCCAUAACUGGGAACGUCGACGUCAUGUUCAACAUGUAAUCUUUCAGAACAAUGAGCAAGGUCGCAAUUGGGGUGUUACUGCGCAGCGCUACAUCGACGAAGUGUUGAAACAGGUAAUUCGUCCAUUUUUGGCUCAAAGAGGUCAUCUUGUUUUUCAGCAAGAUAACGCGAGAGCACACACAGCAGACAUUUCUCCAGAACAAUAACAUCCAGACCAUGGAUUGACCAGCUUUAAGCCCAGAUUUGAAUCCCAUCGAACACCUCUGGGAUGAGAUGGAAAGACGAAUUCACCAACAGCGAGUACGUCCAGUUAACUUGCAACAACUGCAACAGAGUGUUGUUGACAUUCCCAGGAGGUCAAUUCGACGUCUCUCCAACAGCAUGGGGAGGAGAUGUGCAGCUGUUGCUGAUGUCAGUGGAGGUCACACCCGUUAUUGACGUUUACGUUUGUUUCCCAAUAAAGAACAAUUCCUAAAGUGAUGCGUUAUGUGGAUUCCAUAUUAUUUUAUUGGAUUUUCACGUCAUGUGGACAAUAAACACACUAAGAGCUUUCUUUCGAGUUAUCGCUGUCUUUUGUGAAAGUAAAGUUAGUAAAAAUACGCCAUGUUCUCACUCACUGUCAUUGUUUCUUUUGGCGGUGAGUAUAUAUUGUCAGUUAUCAGGUUCGACUGAUUUAGUUUACACAAUGUUAAAUCUAGUGGUUAAAUCGUUGGCUGGUCACUCCAAAAAUACCGGGUUCAAUUCUACAAAUGGCGACCAUCAGUAAAGACAAGUAUUCGUCUACCCUGUAAGGCGCUCGGGGAUACAAUCAAAACUGGUCGGAGUACGGUCGGAGUGGGGUGUUCAUGUGCAGCAGUAUCUCAGUUGGAUUGCACUACAGGAUUAUAAAACCGGUAUUUGGCCAGAACACACUCACGCACACAUCGGUGGGAAGCCGACCUCACUAGAUUAUCGUGAGUCAGAGAAACCCAAACAGACAAAGUCUAUAAUAUUUACUACUUAAGUUAGCGAAAGAAACGAGCACGGGUAUUGAGCUGCUAAUAUCCCAUCUCAUUAUAGCUACAUGCAAAAAGGCAACUGUGUUGCAUGCGUAUGAGUGUAUCACCCUUAUAUAAUACGUCUUAUGAAUUUUAAUAUUCUAGCCCCACACAGACAGCUUGGAUUAGCCCGGGUAAUACUGUCCAUAAUGUUGUAGUGUGCGAUUAGAGCAUGCGAAGUUUAGCAUUGUAUGAGUGGCCUUGAUAUAUUAUCAUUACAAAGAUAGAGGACACUGUAGCUCACCUGGAUUAUUGGAAACAUUAGAUGAUAAAGAUCACACUGUGAGAGACAAUAGAAGAUGCCGCUGUUCACCAUCACGACACCUGGGUUUCAGACAGAUGUGAGAAAAGCACACAUUUACAAAGGACGGAUGGACGGAUGGGCAGACGGAUAAAGCGUCAUAAUCACCCUUAAAGUUCAGUAAUACCACGGCGGGGGACACCGGUUGUACACGUGUUGCACCCAUGUGAGGACUCGAACCCGGAUCUUCGGCGUGACGAGCGGACGCUUUAACCACCGGGAUACCCCAACGCCUGUCUCAAAGUUUGAAGGUAAACUGAGAUGUAGGUGAACAGAGACUAAACCAUGAAAAGCAUGUGCUGCCGACAGGCACAAGGGGCCAUCUCAAAGGUAUUUAUGCUUUUUCAUGUGUGUUGAAUAUGUCUCGUCUAUUGAUUAACAUCUUGCGUGUCUUUCUUUCAUAAAGUUUUUGUGAAAGAGUAUGAUACUCAAAGAAAAGCUUAAAUAGGCCAUCCUAUUAAAUGUCUAAAAAAAUAUAGGUGGCAUGACCACCCGAAGAUCGACACGACUGGAUAUUAUUUGUAAAUUGUUAUGACAUGCCGUUUACUUCCCCAGUUUACUUCCCCUAAAGGAUUAUCUUGUCUUAGCUGAUACCUCUAUCCAGAUAUCUACCCAGCCCGACCCCAAUCACCAUCUGCGACAACCCGUCCUGGUUUUGCGUUUGAGACGACCCCUCCGACCUGUUUGUGUUUAUAGUAACAGUGAGA